UAUUGAGGAACGUAGACUAAGAGAGCCACGUCCUAUGGCGUCGCCUAAGUGACCAACAUCAUAUUGA
rnacentral:sRNA from 1 species